rnacentral:misc_RNA from 12 species
ACGCUUUAUUGAAGAGAGAGAGAGAGAGGGACAUGUUGGAAUAUUCUUCAUUUUCUCUUCGGUCUCUCUCUCUCUCUCUCUUCGAUUUCUAUCUU